rnacentral:lncRNA from 10 species
ACAUUUAAGGGUUAAUAAAAAUGUUCUAAGUUGAGAUUUUGGUGACUGCUGCAUAACUGUGAAUAUAGUAAAGCCUUUUUCAUUCUGUACCUUAAAUGGGUGAAUUUUGUGUGGCAUGUGAAUUAUAUUUUAAUAAGGCUGUGAAAAAUGCAUAUGCAUAAAAAACUAGCUUUUGUUUUUCUCUCAUGCUCCAGUGAGAUGCAGAAGUCAGAAAGAGGAUGAGGAAGCCAUCAAUUCUGCAUUUACCCGUGCACUCUUUUCUUCUGUAGUUAAAACUAAGACCCAGGUUAAAGGAGAACCUCUUAUUUGAGAUGUGCCAAGCAUCACAAAUUUGGAUUUAUUUGGGAAAAAUCAAGGGAGCUGGUGAAAACACACAGUGGAUCUUAAAGCUUCUGUUCCACCUGGCAUAUGUUAACACAAGACACUGUAAAUCAUUUGUCUGCAGAUGGGCUUGUGUAAUCCUCCAAAUUAUUUAGAAACUAAAAGUAAGAGAGAAUGACCAGUUCAGAACAAUAAUGCAAUCUACCACACAGGUCAGUAUGCCAGAUUGUAUUCUUCGAUUUUCCUUGCUUUUAUUUUCUAUCUUCAGAAAUCAGCCAGUUUUACAUUAUUUCACAACAAAAAGCUUUAUUUGUUUUGUCAUUGAAUUAUCUCAACUCAUGUAGCAUGACGCUUCUGUUUCCAACAGUUACACAUUCUUGUUUUUGCUAGGACACUGGUUUUUCAGCUGGGACAGGCCUCCUUAAAUUUAGGGGUCACUUGGUACUGACUCAGAAAUAACAGUUCUCUAACUGAUUCGCUGCCAUUUAUGUACAGAUUCUGCACGAUUUUCUUGUUAACUCUACCUAUGAUAUUAUAAAUCAUCAUUCAUGGGGAUAGGACCGUGUUUCAAGUUAAAUACUAUUUCUGUGGUAUUUUAAUAGUGUAACAAAUAUAUCAGAUAAUAGAUAAUAGAUAGGAAUGCUUCAAAAUAUUCCUGCAGCUAUCAAAUAUGAUAGAUGUUUCAGAUGGUCUUCAG